ACCCUUUUCUGGGAAAGUGAGUAUCAACCAAGAAUGAAUCUCGCUGUGUUGUCCAGGCUGGAGUGCAGUGGCACCAUCUCGGCUCACUGCAACCUCUAGCUCCCAGGUUCAAGCGAUUCUCCUGACUCAGCCCCCUGAGUAGCUGGGAUUACAGGCACGCGCCACCACUCCCAGAUGGAGUUUUGCUCUUGUUGCCCAGGCUGGAGUGCAAUGGCAAGAUCUCGGCUCACCACAACCUCUGCCUUCUUUUUUCUUCUGUUUUUAAAACUUGUGGUAAAAUCUAGAUAACAAAAAGUUUGCCAUUUUAACCAUUUUUAAGUGGACAGUUCAGUGGCAUUAGUUACAUUCCCAAUGUUGUGUAACCACCACUACUAUCCAUUUCCAGAAGGUUUUCAUCACCCGAAACAGAAACUCUGUACCCAUUAAAUAGUAACUCCCCAUUCUACCCUUCUCUCCCUCCAUAACCUCUGUUUUACCUUCUGCAUCCAUCAAGUUGCCUGUUAUAGAUAAUUCACAUAGA
rnacentral:antisense_RNA from 1 species